rnacentral:rRNA from 1 species
UACGAAGGGGGCUAGCGUUGCUCGGAAUCACUGGGCGUAAAGCGCACGUAGGCGGACUCUUAAGUCGGUGGUGAAAUCCUGGAGCUCAACUCCAGAACUGCCUUCGAUACUGGGAGUCUCGAGUCCGAAAGAGGUGAGUGGAACUGCGAGUGUAGAGGUGAAAUUCGUAGAUAUUCGCAAGAACACCAGUGGCGAAGGCGGCUCACUGGCUCGGUACUGACGCUGAGGUGCGAAAGCGUGGGGAGCAAACAGG